AGUGCUCUUUUAAACGUUGGGGUCGAUGCGGGUCUAGGACAGAGCGGUUCUCGAAUAAAGCAGUUGCCGCCAUCUCCUUUAAACGGCGCCUCGCGGUUUCAAUCAGCUCCUGGAGCACACUCACCGACAGCACUUCCUUCCUCCAGUCGCCUUUCUUUCUCUCUCUCCCCCUCCCUCUCUUUCUCCUCCACUCAAUUUUCACUCUACCGGUUUUUUUUUCUUUUUUCCCGCCGGUCGCGCAAUGGCAGCGAUCUAAGUAAAACCCUCCCCAUUUACCGGUUCCGCACUUUCCACACGCACCACGUGAGCCAGGUUCCGACGAAAGCAUCGAUUAAAUCCAGCGCCUCGCUAACGAAGUGAAAACACGAAGGGGAGGUUGGGGCGGAGGCGCUGGUGGUCAUCCGCGGAACGGAAAGCGGGGUUGCCCGAGGCGGAUCAAAUGGCGAAUGUGCCGGCAGUCGGCAGGAGAAGGUGCGUCUUUAGGUCCCCGGUUCGCCUUGUCACCGCCAGUGGCCGCUCGGCACGUCCGGGGCUCAGGCUGCGGCAAUGAACCGGGACGAAGGCCCCCAGCUGAGACACUGACAAUUUCCGAGCACGUGUGAGAGAGGCUGAAGUGGGGGGUGGCGUGUGAACCGGGGAGGAGAGGUGUGGAGAUGGUCAUCCCAGCUCAUACUCCACAGUCCCUUUCUACCUCAUAGAAACAACACCCCCGCCCUCUCCCCACAGUCUGAUGAUCACCUUGAGUCGGUAGGCAACUCCUCCUGCCAUCGGCCUAUUAACCAGCCCAAAGUUGAGGCACUCAUUUCGCUCCCUAUUCUAAUUGCUGCCCGAGAGUCGUUGAGGCGAAAAAAACACUACCAUGAAUUCUGUGCAGCAUUACUACAACAGCACAAAGUCACUUGGGAAAGACUUUCAGAGUUGUGCACAUGUCACGGUACAGAUAAUUUCAUAUCACUAAGGUCACCUUGCUUGUUGAUUAUUCUGCCAAAGAAGACGACGACCAGCUUUUCAGCAAGAUACUAGUUAUAACUGCACCAAAUGGAGAAUUUCCCCCGACAUGUGGACUUCAGUUUUACUUUGUCUCCUGAUGCCAUGGUUGUCAGGGUUUGACCAAGGCUGUAAUGAACCCAGUGGCCAUGCUGGAAUCCAAACUGUGCAUCAGCUCGCAGGUUUUUACAAUGUAAGUCCAGUUGAUCGUAUUGUUGAUGACCUCUUCUAGAUAUUUUGAAUCAACCUCUUCAAACAAAUCAUGGCCCGCCUCUGGUGUAGGUGGGACUUGAACUCAACUUCUGGCUCACUACCGCUGUGCGUCAAAAGCCUGAUGACCUCUUCAAUCACUUUGCUGAUCAUUGAAAGUAAUUGAUGAGGAUGUAAUUGACCAGGUAUCCAUAAUCCUUUUGUAGUGGCGAACAUCAGAGAAAGAGUGUUUUGAAAACAGGUGUGUUGUAUUAUCAUAUUCGACCCAGAAAUGAGCUUCCACUCACGUGUUUGUGCUAUUACUAAGAUUUCUUAUUUACACCUCUGUAAACUCACCUGAUUCUGCCUCUGUCUCACAUUAUUUGCUGUUAACGCACUUGUUUAUGCUGUAGUAACUGCAAACGUAAAUGUUCAAAUGUGUACCUGGCCAACCUUCUAUCUUUCUAUCCUUUUAUAAAUUUCAGGUCACCCAAAACUCUGCCAUGUCCUUUUGAGUGUCAGUUCCUAUUCACCGGUCACCCUUGUCCUCGCUGACCUGCAACACCUUAGGAAAACAACGCCUUGAUUUGGAAAUAGUAGGAACUGCAGA